UACGUAGGGGGCUAGCGUUGUCCGGAUUUAUUGGGCGUAAAGAGCGUGUAGGCGGCCAGGUAGGUCUGCUGUGAAAACUCGAGGCUCAACCUCGAGACGUCGGCGGAAACCAUCUGGCUAGAGUCCGGAAGAGGAGGGUGGAAUACCCAGUGUAGAGGUGAAAUUCGUAGAUAUUGGGUGGAACACCGGUGGCGAAGGCGGCUCUCUGGUCCGGACCUGACGCUGAGGCGCGAAAGCGUGGGGAGCGAACAGG
rnacentral:rRNA from 1 species